GCCCCGGUAGCCCAAUCAGGCAGGAGGCAGCGCAUUCAAGACGCGCACAGUGCGGGUUCGAGUCCCGCUCGGGGCA
rnacentral:tRNA from 1 species